rnacentral:misc_RNA from 1 species
ACGGAAAAAGAAUCAAUUCGCAGUCGAUUUGCUGCAAAUUGUGACGCCAAUUGUAAACGUCUCGCUGUUCUCCAACUAUUUCGUAGAUGUACCAACUUCUUUCCCGCGCAUUUCUUCCCUCGGAUUUUCGUUUCUUCUUGUCGGUUACGCGCUACGCGCCUCGUGGGGAGCCGAAGGAAAAAAGAAACUGUGCCGAAGGGCACAGACCAUUGGAACGACGGCAGAGUCCCGACUGCAUAAUAGAGCA